rnacentral:snoRNA from 1 species
GUCUGUCGGUGAUGAGACCACGGAUCUAGCGUCAGGCAUGGCGCCCGACACGUAUGAGGAGAUCUUUCCAUGCUGCCUUCCUUCUGAGACCACAC